UAUACAUCUUCACAGUUUUAUUGUCGGCACGCAGUCAACGCCCCAUUCCAGCACCCCGGCGCAAGUUCAUCUCUGGGUCUUCGUGUCAUGGUCCGAGAUAUAUGAUUCAUUUCAAAAUGAUUUGCUAUGCCACGGCCGGCUUGGAGGCAAGGGAGCUAACCCAGUGCAGGUGCCUGCUGCCUGGUGGCUACAUCGCCCCACUUUGAAGUUCAGGCAGGUUGAAGUCAUGUCCUCCUGCCAUCCCGUCCUCCCAGAUGCACCUUGUGGGCCUGGCCAUUUUAUUGCCCAUCUGUUGGCGUUGGCCGGCUACUUUCUCACAUAACGCGGCCAUGGGAAAUGCGGAAAAGCUGCCAUCGUCGAAUUCAAGAUGCUCUGUGAGUGCUGGGUGUCAAGUUCUGAUAUGAAUUUAUUCAAAUCUAUCACAAAAAUCUUAACUAAGAAUUCAUGCAUCUAAAACAUGAACAAAUGAAGCUCGUAU
rnacentral:lncRNA from 1 species